rnacentral:rRNA from 1 species
GUGGGGAAUCUUCCACAAUGGACGAAAGUCUGAUGGAGCAACGCCGCGUGAGUGAAGAAGGGUUUCGGCUCGUAAAGCUCUGUUGUCGGGGACGAAUGUGCAGUAUUUGAAUAAAGUACUGCAAUGACGGUACCUGACGAGGAAGCCACGGCUAACUACGUGCCAGCAGCCGCGGUAAUACGUAGGUGGCAAGCGUUGUCCGGAAUUAUUGGGCGUAAAGGGAGCGCAGGCGGGAAGGUAAGUCGGUCUUAAAAGUGCGGGGCUCAACCCCGUGAUGGGAUCGGAACUAUCUUUCUUGAGUGCAGGAGAGGAAAGUGGAAUUCCUAGUGUAGCGGUGAAAUGCGUAGAUAUUAGGAGGAACACCAGUGGCGAAGGCGACUUUCUGGACUGUAACUGACGCUGAGGCUCGAAAGCCAGGGGAGCGAACGGGAUUAGAAACCCGUGUAGUCC